ensembl:lncRNA
CAUUUUUCAUAUUUAACAGAGGAUGAGCAGCUUUUCUUACUUAUGAUUCAAAUCGAAGUGGGCUUUAAAUUGGCACUAAAAUCUGUUCAUUUAUCACCUUAAAAUAGUUCUUAGUAGUAACAAAUACAACACAAGUGCCCUACACUCCUGAUACCGGAUACAUUGGAAAUGUGUAAGCAACCCCAAAUCCCCUGAGUUUACAAAGAAUGUGCAGAAAAAGGGACUUUCAUCCAUCCCCUGAGAGGGAUCCUUAAGGAUCACUCUGUUCCAACCCCCCGCCAUGGGUUGGGUGCCCCCCAGCUCAGCCUGCCCAGGGCCCGUCCAUGGCCUUGGGCACCUGCAGGGAUGGGGCACCCACAACUAUGGGCAGAAGAUGCCAACAGGAUGUGUUCGUGUUUGUGUCAGGGAAAUAAACACCAGGAAAAAAACAGCUACAAAGAGACGUUAAGCAGUGCCACGUUUGGUGCAGGGCUCAGCAGCAUGCAGUGAGCGAAGCAUGGGGCUGCACACUGAAUAAGAAUGACGAAAAAAAAAAAGCCCAACAGCUGUCUCAUUCAUUGAGCACGAUUAAUCUGAUCUGAAAGAAGCCGGGUUCCUAUGGAAAAACAAUGUGCAGCUUGUAAUCAAGAAGCAUCUCAAAGCAUGUGCAUAAGUGGUUUGAUUCUCCCAUAAAAGGGUUGGAAAUCCAAUACAACUAUUGACAUGCAGAGAUCUUUACAACAGCAGAAAGCAGAUGCUCUGGCCAAGGAUCAAAGCUUUGAGCACUGGUUUAGGCCAUCCAGGAGGUCAUUUCCUGACCUCCAAAUCUCCCUUUCCAACAUGAAAGUUCUGCUGAUUUAUUCUUUCACUUGUUUGCACUGCUUAUGUGGAUGAGAUAGAGCACAGAAACUGGAACUUUUAGGAGCUGUGUGGCACUGGGAGAGAAAUGAGGGGUGUGGGGCAGAAACAAGGAGAUGGGGUUGGCAUGGUGUCACCGCAUGGCCGGACACCGGCAUGAAGGCACCACAUGGUUGGGGUUGGGUUGGUGGCACUGCAUGGUAGGUGUUGGGGUGAUGGCACCAUGUGUUUGGGGUUGGGUUGGUGGCACCAUGUGGUUCGGGUUGGGUUAGCAACACCACAAGGUUGAGGUUGGGUUGGUGACACUGCAUGGUUGGGGUAGGGGGCACUGCAUGGUGGUUGGGGUUGGGUUGGUGGUACUGUGUGGUUGGGGUUGGGUUGGUGGCACUGCAUGGUAGGGGUUGGGUUGGUGGCACUGCGUGGUUGAGGUUGGGUUGGCAAUACUGCAUGGUUGAGGUUGGGUUGGUGGCACUGCGUGGUUGGGGCUGGUGUGGUGGCACCAUGUGGUUGGGUGGGUGGCACUGUGGGGUUGGGUUGGUGGUACCACAUGGUUGAGGACCAGAGGCCACACUCCCACCCAGGGCCACCCACCGCCUUCCCAUGGAGGGAAACCACAGUGAAGGCUCCUGCAACGUCUCAGGACACACAGGACCAACUCUCAGUCCUUUCAGGACGGGAUUUGUCCCUUUUGGGUCACGAAAGACCUUUCCAUUCCUUUGGUUAAAAACAACCAAGGAGAAGCUACAGCACUCAAACCUGAUUUUGUACUUUUUAUCCCUGCU